UGAUAUUCAUUGUUUUCAAAAAUGUGCGACUAAUCGAAAAUCUAAAACCAUUUGAUGAAGGGGAUAAUGACUUAUGAAAACGACUAAAUCCGUCAUUACAAUUUUAUUACUCUAAAAGGACUUUGAACACUGUAGCAAAUUACAGUAGUUUGAGUCCUGUUUACAUUAAAUGGGAUUCUUGCAA
rnacentral:sRNA from 16 species